rnacentral:lncRNA from 12 species
GCCUGGCAGCCGACUCUGUGCUCUGUGCCAGGUGGGGAGCACCCCUGGGCCCAGAGGAUCUGUCACUUUGCCCCUGGGCUGGCCUGGGCAGUGGGACUGCGGCCUUCUGCCCCGGGCACCCUCCACUGUCUGAGAGGGAGGGUCUAGGCUGGGAGACGAGGCUCCUCGGGGGCUGCCCCCCCACCGGCUCUGCACCCCCAUGGUCCGCGGCCAUCAGCCCACGGGGAUGGAGGACGGGGCCCCGGGACACGUGUUCCCGUGAGCCCCCGGGGAGGCCAGUGUGUCCAGUGCCCACCCUGGCUCCCUCUGGCUCUACCAAGUGCAGCUGAGAGGGACGGCCUUGACCCCAGCUCAGCCCUCCGUCUGCCCUCAGGCGCCCUGACCAAACAGGAUAGCUCCAAACUGGCAGAGGAAAGUAAAAGGGAAGCCAGCCCCUCCCUUGGCAGAAGGGCCGGCCCUGGAGCCUCUUUGUACUCCGGCUUUCCUCCGUGUUGUGGAUGUGCACGCACACGCUCACCAAGCCCAGCACCAGGCUCCCAGCGGACAGGGCCCUCCCGCAGCCCGGCCGAAGGACGCUCAGGCGCGUGAGUGUGUGUGCAUCAUCGACACUAAUCUUCUUAGGAGCUGAUCACAAGCGCGGAGCCCACCGAGCCUGGCCUGGGGUCUCUGAACAGCACUGUCUUGCAGCCGGCUCCCCCAUGGAACCCUCUGGCGUGACCCCCUGUGCUCGCAGCCCCCCACCCCACCCCUGGGCACUCAGGUGGGUGGCAACCUUCUGACUUUCCGGCUCCCUUUGCAGCGAUUGCUCCUGGAGAACAUGUUCAGCCCCAACAUCCGCCCCAGGAGGUCAUGCCCCCCGUGACACCCCCCGCCGCGGCCAUGGGGACUCAGGACUGCUCACCCCAAUCUGGAAGAUCCUGCCAAGGCUCUUGCCUGUACUUUGUAACAGAAAAGCAGCGGGCUGGAGUCGCGCUUCUUAUCCAGACGCAAAACCACACGGGCAGGCAUGACCGCCCGCGAGGAGGAGGGAAACAGAGGGACCGCUCUUGCACGACGUGGACGCGUGACCAGGAAGCACAAGAAGGCCUGUCCAGGAGGCUCUACCCCAUGUCCAUCACUUGGGCAAAACACAAAAGUUCUGUGCGUGGGGUCCCGGGGAGGACUCGGAAUGCAGGUGCUCCCAGCUAUACGGUGGCGUGUUCGGGGUGUGCGCCAAGCGGCUGCGUGGAGGGCACAUGGAGGGCACCAGGGCUCCUAAUAAAGCCCAGGGCAGGCCCCUCGUGCCUGAGAUUCACUCCGAUCCUGUGGGCUCCCCAGCGUGCAUGGGCACUAGGAGGGCCGGGCCCCGGGGGACCCUGGGUUUCCACAGAUAUGCAUGUGUGUGUGUGUGUGCACACACUUGUGUGCACGUGCCCAAAGAGCAACCUGUAGCUUCUGUAAUUAAAAUGAAAAACAAUGAUACAGAUACAGUAGAAAUAAAACCCUCCUAAAAAAAAAAAAAAAAAAAAAC